rnacentral:rRNA from 1 species
UACGUAGGGGGCAAGCGUUGUCCGGAAUUAUUGGACGUAAAGAGCGUGUAGGCGGCCAGAUAAGUCCGCUGUGAAAUCUCGAGGCUCAACUUCGAGCUGUCGGUGGAAACUGUCUGGCUAGAGUCCGGAAGAGGAGAAUGGAAUUCCUGGUGUAGCGGUGAAAUGCGCAGAUAUCAGGAAGAACACCCGUGGCGAAGGCGGUUCUCUGGGACGGUACUGACGCUGAGACGCGAAAGCGUGGGGAGCGAACAGG